rnacentral:rRNA from 1 species
AUUGAACGCUGGCGGCAGGCCUAACACAUGCAAGUCGAGCGAGCGGCGGACGGGUGAGUAAUGUAUGGGGACUGCCCGAUAGAGGGGGAUAACUACUGGAAACGGUAGCUAAUACCGCAUACUAUCGGAUAACCCAUAUGGGAUUAGCUAGUAGGUGAGGUAAUGGCUCACCUAGGCGACGAUCCCUAGCUGGUCUGAGAGGAUGAUCAGCCACACUGGGACUGAGACACGGCCCAGACUCGCCGGGAGGCAGCAGUGGGGAAUAUUGCACACUGGGCGUAACCCUGGUGCAGCCAUGCCGUGUGUAUGAAGAAGGCCCUAGGGUUGUAAGGUGCUCUGAGUGGGGGGGCGUUACCGACAGAAGAAGCACCGGCUAACUCCGUGCCAGCAGCCGCGGUAAUUC